AUCUAAUCCCAACCACCCACCCAACGCCUCCCCUCCCCCCCCAAAAAAAAGAAAAGAAAAGAGAGUUCAUCUUCCUCCCUCCCCCUCCCCCCACCCAAAAAGUUCAUCUUCCUCCCUCCACCUCACCUCACCCCACACCACACCACCACCACCCCUCACUAAACCCCUCCGUUCCCUUCACAAAAAAAUAAAUAAAAGGUUAAUCUUCCUCCAGAACGCCCUUCAUGCACCCGACGGCCCCCUUCCACCGCAAAUUCAAAUGAAGAGCCGCCCUCGCCGCCGUCCACUCCACGUCGUCGCAGCUGCCGAAAUCCUCUACCCUGCCGAUGCCCACAAGAAAUACUCCUCAUCCGCUGUAACAAAUGCAUUGCCCACCCAUUCAAUUCAACCGCAACAAAUGAGUCGCCCCCAGCCGCCCUCUCAUCCAAUUAUGGACAAAAGCUUAAUCACAAACCAAAUCCCUCCACCUCCAAUCAAAAUCCAGAUACCGCGAUUUAUGAGAAGACAGAGCGUGUGAAGGAGGGUGAUGCGAUGAAGGUUAGAAAGGCGAAGGGCAAUUUUAUCUCUGAAAAGCUAAUCUAGGGUACUAUUGAGAUGAUGAAUUGUAUCCAUGGGUGUUGGUAGGAUAACUUUUGUGAAGAUAAAUAGUAAUUUUACAGUGGACUUUAAUUUAAAACGGGAUCUCCUCACUAUUUAUCAUGGAUAUCAAACAACUUGAUAGUCCUCGAGAGGACAUCCAAACAGUGCGAACUUGUGCCUGUGAACAGUGAGAUUUAGGGUUCAAACCCUACUGCUUCUUCUUAUCUAGAUUUAAAAAAAAACUGAUAAGGCCUAGGUAAAUUUGAUAUCUGAACCUUAUGAAGCCUUACCAAACAGAUACUGAAUAUAUAAUUAAUCAUGAGCUUAGCUCCAAAUAGUUAACGUAUCUAGCGGAUCCUAAUUAUGAGCCCGAUGCGCGCUGCUCCCGAGCCCCAUUACUGAUGCUCUCAGACAUUUGAACAAAAUUUUGUGAACUAUACAUAUAAAGUCACUUGAAUCAUAAUUUAGUUUCAACAACAAAUAUUAGAAUUUGAGUCUCAUAGGAACAACCUAGUGGUAAAUAGGAUAUUUUUAAGGCUAAAUAUCUCAAGUUCGAAUCUCACUAAUCUAUAUAAUAUAUAAAAAGAGGAGUUUUUCCCUCCAUUUUUCCCUCUUCAUUUUUCUCUCUUAUUCCACCAAAUUUUUCAUAAUUUUUUUCUCUUCUCUUUUUUUAAUUUUUUUUUCUAAAUAUCGUCAUAUUUGAUUAAUGAAAAAAAUAUUCAAUAUUCAUCUUAAAUUUAAAUUUGUGAAAAGAUCUUUAAUAUGAUGUAAAAAUCAUUAAAAAUAAAUUUAAAAUAAAUAAAUUAUGAUUUUUUUAAAAAUAUGUCAUUUUCUCUCUCCAUUACUUUUUACAACUUUUUUUUUAUCUAUGUUUGUUUAUGAAAUAUUUAUUUAUUAAAAUAUAUUUUGAAUUGAUUUACAUUUUGAUUAUAUUUAAUAAUUAUAUAUUAAUUAAUUUCGAUGUUCGUCGUGCAUCGCACGAAUGAAGGUACUAGUAUCUUUAUAUAUCUCAGUUUGUCUUACGUAAUUUUUCAAAUAUAAUUUGCAAGCAAUUACACAUAAACGCAGGGGGGAUCCAGGAUUUGAAGUUAGGGGGGAGGGGGCUGAAUUUAUUGAUCUACGACGUUUGAAGACAUUUACACGGACUUCAUUUUCAUGCAUUUUUUUUAACAAUCACUUAAUAUAAUAGAUAAUUAUUUGCAAUUCAAUAAAUUCAACAUCAAGUAGAUUGAAAGCAUACAAAAACAUACUUUUAUGCAUUCCUUUAAAAAAUAUACUUCAUUUUCUAAACAAAUAAACUAACUUUCAUUGUUAAUAAUAAGUAAUUUUACUUUUAACUUUAGAAUAGACUCAAAUUCAACAUUAAAAAUUAAAUAAGAAAAAAAAUUGGAUAAAAAUAACAUAAAUGUAACAAAUCAAUGUACAAUGUCAAAUAAUUAAUAUGGAUAGUUGGAUAUACUAUAAAUAAUGUACUCCCUCCGUCUCAGCCCAAUAGGCUCGUUUUCCUUUUCGGGACGUCCCAGCCCAAUAGGCUCAGUCUUAAAAUGAAAAUAAUUAGGGUUAUAAUUAAAAUAAUUAGCUACUUAAUUAAAGAGGAUAUACACCCAAAUUAAAAUCCUAAAGACUCAUUCUAAAAAAACAUUUUCUCUCUCCACUUUUCUUUUCUUCUUCACACGGUCUCUGCUCUCUCCCUUCUUUCAUUCCCUCUCUCUGCGUCUCUCACUCUCUGUUGCUCUCCGGCGAGGCCGGCGUAUCUUCUUCUCCCUCCUUUCUUCUCAACCUCUUCCCCUAAAUCUAAAAUCAAAAUCAAAAUCAACCUAGGGUUUUAAUCUCCGCCCCAGCCCGUCGUACCGUCGUAUCUUCACCCCUCGAGCCCCUGAGCUGUAGACGUGUCGGAGACCUUCGUUACCGGAGCCGGUGGUCGCGGAAGAAGACGAAGCGGCGGUGACCGGUGCGGAGGAAGAGGCGAAAAUCAAAGCUCCACCUCCCCAUUCUCUCAACGACGAGCGCCGCCGCUGACUCCUUCGUUCAACGCCACGGUGCCCCCGCCCCCUCUCUCUCAGUUCUUGAUUUGCAGAUCAGAAUUUUCUUGAUUUUGUUGCUGAAAGUUUCUGAUUUCGUUAGAGUUGCUGUUGAGUUGUAUUCUUGAUUUGCAGAAUUAGAGUGUAGAAACAUGUGAAUUGUUGCUGAAUUCUUGAUUUGCAGUAUUUUUGUUGAAUGUUGGUUGUUGAGUUGUA